rnacentral:rRNA from 1 species
AGAUACCCUGGUAGUCCACGCCGUAAACGAUGCUAACUCGUUUUUGGGUUUUCGGAUUCAGAGACUAAGCGAAAGUGAUAAGUUAGCCACCUGGGGAGUACGUCCGCAAGAAUGAAACUCAAAGGAAUUGACGGGGGCCCGCACAAGCGGUGGAUUAUGUGGUUUAAUUCGAUGAUACGCGAGGAACCUUACCAAGGCUUAAAUGGGAAUUGACAGGUUUAGAAAUAGACUUUUCUUCGGACAAUUUUCAAGGUGCUGCAUGGUUGUCGUCAGCUCGUGCCGUGAGGUGUUAGGUUAAGUCCUGCAACGAGCGCAAUCCCUGUCACUAGUUGCCAUCAUUCAGUUGGGGACUCUAGUGAGACUGCCUACGCAAGUAGAGAGGAAGGUGGGGAUGACGUCAAAUCAUCACGGCCCUUACGCCUUGGGCCACACACGUAAUACAAUGGCCAGUACAGAGGGCAGCUACCUAGCGAUAGGAUGCGAAUCUCGAAAGCUGGUCUCAGUUCGGAUUGGAGUCUGCAACUCGACUCUAUGAAGCUGGAAUCGCUAGUAAUCGCGCAUCAGCCAUGGCGCGGUGAAUACGUUCCCGGGCCUUGUACACACCGCCCGUCAAUCAC